UUAGUGUUAGUGGAAGCGUCUGGAAAGGCGCGCGAUACAGGGUGACAGCCCCGUACACAAAAGCGCAUGUGCUGUGAGCUCGAUGAGUAGGGCGGGACACGUGGUAUCCUGUCUGAAUAUGGGGGGACCAUCCUCCAAGGCUAAAUACUCCUGACUGACCGAUAGUGAACCAGUACCGUGAGGGAAAGGCGAAAAGAACCCCGGCGAGGGGAGUGAAAAAGAACCUGAAACCGUGUACGUACAAGCAGUGGGAGCCCCACCACCAAAGCAUUCUCUGGUGUUGAAGGCCCUGCAAAGCAGCAUCGCGGUGGCGGAGCGUCGUUUGCGACGCCCAACACACAAAACAAGCGGUGAGUGCUUUGGGGUGGGGUGACUGCGUACCUUUUGUAUAAUGGGUCAGCGACUUAUAUUCUGUAGCAAGGUUAACCGAAUAGGGGAGCCGGAGGGAAACCGAGUCUUAAUUGGGCGUUAAGUUGCAGGGUAUAGACCCGAAACCCGGUGAUCUAGCCAUGGGCAGGUUGAAGGUUGGGUAACACUAACUGGAGGACCGAACCGACUAAUGUUGAAAAAUUAGCGG
rnacentral:rRNA from 1 species